rnacentral:lncRNA from 1 species
UUGGUUCCUUUAACUUUGAUCUCUUCUUCUGAACUGACUUCUCUCUCUCUCUCUCUCUAAAACUUUACACAUUUUCUUGAUUUCUUUUCUCCCUCUAAAGCAUGCAAAUCGGAGCCACACUUGAAGGAUUGCGUAUAGGGUGUUCGUAACACGCAGCAGAAGACAAUAACAAUCCUAGGUAAAUUUGUUUCAUGUUUAAAAUUCAUUUACGUGUCAAAGAUCGGAUCUAAGACGUACCUGGUGAAGAGAG